CAGCAGCCGCGGGAACACAGAGGGUGCGAGCGUUAAUCGGAUUUACUGGGCGUAAAGCGUGCGUAGGCGGCUUCUUAAGUCGGAUGUGAAAUCCCUGAGCUUAACUUAGGAAUUGCAUUCGAUACUGGGAAGCUAGAGUAUGGGAGAGGAUGGUAGAAUUCCAGGUGUAGCGGUGAAAUGCGUAGAGAUCUGGAGGAAUACCGAUGGCGAAGGCAGCCAUCUGGCCUAAUACUGACGCUGAGGUACGAAAGCAUGGGGAGCAAACAGGAUUAGAUACCCGUGUAGUCCCUGUCUCUUAUAC
rnacentral:rRNA from 1 species